rnacentral:rRNA from 1 species
GAAAGUAAAAUUAGAGCGUACGGUGAAUGCCUAGGCUCUCAGAGGCGAAGAAGGACGUGAUAAGCUGCGAAAAGCUGUGGGGAGGUGCAAAUGACCGUCGAUCCGCAGAUGUCCGAAUGGGGCAACCCUUACCGGUGAAGCCGGUAAAUUCCGCAAGGAAGGCGAACCCAGGGAACUGAAACAUCUAAGUACCUGGAGGAGAAGAAAUCAAAUAGAGAUUCCCUUAGUAGUGGCGAGCGAAAAGGGACUAGCCCAAAUUCAGACAGUUACGGCUGUUUGGAGGUUAUAGGACUGAAAUAAUUUAUUAUAAAUAGAAGCAGAAAGUGUUUGGAAAACACUACCAAAGAGGGUGAAAGUCCUGUAGGCGUGUAUUUAUGAUAGAGUUCAGAAUCCUGAGUACCACAGGACACGAGAAAUCCGGUGGGAAUUAGCGAGGACCAUCUCGUAAGGCUAAAUACUCCUGAGAGACCGAUAGUGAACCAGUACCGUGAGGGAAAGGUGAAAAGUACUUCGAACAGAAGAGUGAAAUAGAACCUGAAACCGUGCGCUUACAAGCGGUCGGAGUCCCUUUGUGGGAUGACGGCGUGCCUUUUGCAUAAUGAGCCUACGAGUUACUCCUCUCUAGCAAGGUUAAGACGUUCAGCGUUGCAGCCGAAGCGAAAGCGAGUCUGAAAUAUGGCGCUAAGUUAGAGGGGGUAGACGCGAAACUUUGUGAUCUACCCAUGGCCAGGUUGAAGCCCCGAUAAAACGGGGUGGAGGACCGAACUAAUAAGCGUUGAAAAGCUUCUGGAUGAGCUGUGGGUAGGGGUGAAAGGCCAAUCAAACUGAGAAAUAGCUCGUACUCCCCGAAAUGCAUUUAGGUGCAGCCUUGAGGACAAACGUCUGUUAGAGGUAGAGCUACUGAUAAGGCUAGAGGGCUUCACCGCCUAUCAAACCUUGACAAACUCCGAAUGCUAACAGAUAAACUCAGGAGUGAGGCUGCGGGUGCUAAGGUCCGUGGCCGAGAGGGGAAGAACCCAGACCAUCAGCUAAGGUCCCCAAAUAUAUGCUAAGUUGAACAAACGAGGUGCGACUGCCCAGACAGCUAGGAUGUUGGCUUGGAAGCAGCCAUUCAUUUAAAGAGUGCGUAACAGCUCACUAGUCGAGUGGUCGUGCGUGGAUAAUAAUCGGGCAUCAAGCAUAUUACCGAAGCUAUGGUACCGCCUCAGGCGGUAGGUAGGGGAGCAUUCUAACGACGUAGAAGCAGUGUUGUGAGACAUUGUGGAGAUGUUAGAAAAGCAAAUGUAGGCAUAAGUAACGAUAAUGCGGGUGAGAACCCCGCACACUGAUAGACUAAGGCUUCCUGAUCAACGUUAAUCGGAUCAGGGUUAGUCGGGACCUAAGGCGUAGCCGAACGGCGAAGUCGAUGGACAACAGGUUAAUAUUCCUGUACCAGCUUAGCUGCGUAGGGGUGACGAAAGAGUGACAAGCCGGCGUACUGACGGAAUAGUACGUUGAAGGGUGUAGGUAAAGUUUAAGGUUAAUAGCUUUAGAUUGCCGAACCUGACAGUACCGCGAGUUUACGGACGAGCGGAAAAGGCUGUAAUCAAAUUUCCCAGAAAACCCCCGAAGCUUCAGGCAAAAGCUGCCCGUACCGCAAACCGACACAGGUAGUCAAGUAGAGAAUACUAAGGUGCUCGAGUGAUCCAUGGCUAAGGAACUAGGCAAAUUAGUCCUGUAACUUAGGGAGAAAGGACUCCAUGUAGCAAUACAUGGACGCAGAGAAACGAUCCAGGCGACUGUUUAACAAAAACACAGGGCUUUGCAAAAUUGAAAGAUGAAGUAUAAGGCCUGACACCUGCCCGGUGCUGGAAGGUUAAGAGGAGAAGUCAUUGCGCAAGCAGGUAGCUUUGAAUUGAAGCCCCAGUAAACGGCGGCCGUAACUAUAACGGUCCUAAGGUAGCGAAAUUCCUUGUCGGGUAAGUUCCGACCUGCACGGACGGAAAGACCCCGUGAACCUUUACUGCAACUUUGCAUUGAUUUUGGGUACGUGAUGUGUAGGAUAGGUGGGAGACAGUGAAGUGGGUGCGCCAGCAUUCAUGGAGUCGACGUUGAAAUACCACCCUUUGCUUAUCUGGAAUCUAAUCCCGCGAGGGCGACAGUGCAUGGUGGGUAGUUUGACUGGGGUGGUCGCCUCCAAAAGAGUAACGGAGGCUUCCAAAGGUACCCUCAGAACGAUUGGUAACCGUUCGAAGAGUGCAAUGGCACAAGGGUGCUUGACUGUGAGACCGACAAGUCGAGCAGGUACGAAAGUAGGGCAUAGUGAUCCGGUGGUUCCGCAUGGAAGGGCCAUCGCUCAAAGGAUAAAAGGUACUCCGGGGAUAACAGGCUGAUCGCCGCCAAGAGCU